rnacentral:rRNA from 1 species
UACGUAGGGGGCUAGCGUUGUCCGGAAUCAUUGGGCGUAAAGAGCGUGUAGGCGGUCCGGUAAGUCCGCUGUGAAAGUCGGGGGCUCAACCCUCGAAUGCCGGUGGAUACUGUCGGGCUAGAGUCCGGAAGAGGCGAGUGGAAUUCCUGGUGUAGCGGUGAAAUGCGCAGAUAUCAGGAGGAACACCUAUUGCGAAGGCAGCUCGCUGGGACGUAACUGACGCUGAGACGCGAAAGCGUGGGGAGCAAACAGG